UACGUAGGGGGCAAGCGUUGUCCGGAUUUAUUGGGCGUAAAGAGCGUGUAGGCGGCCAGGGAGGUCCGUUGUGAAAACUCGAGGCUCAACCUCGAGACGCCGAUGGAAACCCCCUGGCUAGAGUCCGGAAGAGGAGAGUGGAAUUCCUGGUGUAGCGGUGAAAUGCGCAGAUAUCAGGAGGAACACCGGUGGCGAAGGCGCCACUCUGGGCCGGUACUGACGCUGAGGAGCGAAAGCGUGGGUAGCAAACAGG
rnacentral:rRNA from 1 species